rnacentral:lncRNA from 13 species
UCAUUUAAUAUAUUUAACAGUUUACCAUGACCUAACAGCAUAAAGCCUCUGUCAUCAGACAAGGUGCUUGCCAAAAUCUCUAACUUGUUAAAAAUGUUUAUGUGGUGUUUUAAUGAAAGAGUAUGCUAAGCAGUAAAUUCGUUUCAUGAGGAAAUCCCUGUGAAAGCAACCAACACACAGGCUGACAUAGAGGAACUCAAAAAGUCCCCGUUCAAUAUAACGGUGAACUGGGGGGGGAUUCUCCUUUAAAACGCCUUCACAAUUUUUUUCAAAUAAAAUGCCCUCUCCUAUCAGACUACUGGAAAACCUGGAGCUCCCUCCCGUCUAUAACAUCAAACAAGAUGCCUCUUUUCUUUUUCUUUUCCAGCAAUUCUCUGCUUCCUGGGCCACCACAGUUGUCUUUGCUGUCCUUGAUUGAAACCAUUUUCAGAGAGGAAUCAUCACCAAAGGUCAAUCAAAUGCAUUUACAUGCAUUUUUGUCAAUGGGAAAAUACCACUUUUCAAGGCAUGGCAAGUAUACGAACUCCGGAAAAUUACUCUCACAGGAUGUCAGGUAGGAAAUCAUUGCAAAUCUGUAUUAAAAAACAACAACUAGGGGAAGGGCUAGUUGUGUACUGAAUGAUGUGAGAACCUGAUUAGAAGCAAAUGCUUCAUUUCAGUAACAGACUUGGGUUCCACAAUAAUUCUCUAGUGUAUUUACAGAGAGUCAAUCUAAUCAUACCACACUGGUUGCCCAGAAGAAAUAUCAAGAACAUGCUUGAAGUGAAAUCAACCCCUCUUGGAACUUUAGGCUAAGUGACAUAAGCCCAGAAACUUGGCUGUGGUACCAAUGAUGUUGAAAAGAAUGAUAUGCUUUCAAUUUGAAGAGAAUCACUUGACCCUUGGGUACUGCCCUAAAAGCUAUACAACAGUUUACGGUUAAUUGUUCCUGGAAAAAAAUGGAAAAUCAGUUGGACCAGAUUUUCCAUGUUUUCUAUUUUUGCUAAAACUAAAAUAUAUAUUAGUUCUCUUUAAAAUAUUGUGAAUUAGUCACAAGCUGGCUCUUUUUGGUCAUGCUGUAAAUAGCUCUUGGAAAGGUACUACAUCCAGGAUGCCAAAUGUAAUAGGGAAUGUAACUGCUUGGCUCCACUGCUUCUGAGAUGGGUAAGAAAAAGUACCUCUCUAAUUUCAUGAUUAAAAAUUUUACCUUUUUAACUUUGUUCAUCUUAACAACCUUUAACAAGAUUUAUCUUUCACUGGCCUAAUCAAUGUUCAAUAUCCCUUAUAUACAGAUCACCAAGCCGUGCAGCAAUUGGGAUAAAGACCUAAUACAAAGAAUGCUAUUCUGAGAUCCAAAAGAAAUGAAUCACAGACCCAGUUUGUUUCUUUUCACAUCUUUGUAAUACUGAAUACACCCAAGCCUUCCCAAGUCUUUGGUUACUUGGCGUGUUCAGACUAUGUUGACCACAGUCCUAGAGAGAAAAAACAAGUUUUAUGUUAGUUCCUGACUCCAUUGAAAGAUAUGCCAUUUAAAAUGUCCUAGAAGACCUUUUAAAUAUGACUUUGUAUUUAUUUUAGAAUAAAAUUUAAAAUUAAAAAACA